CCUACGGGCGGCAGCAGUGAGGAAUAUUGGUCAAUGGGCGCGAGCCUGAACCAGCCAAGUAGCGUGAAGGAUGACUGCCCUACGGGUUGUAAACUUCUUUUAUAAAGGAAUAAAGUGAGGCACGUGUGCCUUUUUGUAUGUACUUUAUGAAUAAGGAUCGGCUAACUCCGUGCCAGCAGCCGCGGUAAUACGGAGGAUCCGAGCGUUAUCCGGAUUUAUUGGGUUUAAAGGGAGCGUAGAUGGGUUGUUAAGUCAGUAGUGAAAGUUUGCGGCUCAACCGUAAAAUUGCAAUUGAUACUGGCAGCCUUGAGUACUGGAGAGGUAGGCGGAAUGCGUGGUGUAGCGGUGAAAUGCUUAGAUAUCACGAAGAACUCCGAUUGCGAAGGCAGCCUACUAGACUGCCACUGACAUUGAUGCUCGAAAGUGUGGGUAGCAAACAGGAUUAGAUACCCCUGUAGUC
rnacentral:rRNA from 1 species